UACGUAGGGGGCAAGCGUUGUCCGGAUUUAUUGGGCGUAAAGAGCGUGUAGGCGGCCAUACAGGUCAGCUGUGAAAACUCGAGGCUCAACCUCGAGACGUCGGUUGAAACCGUUUGGCUAGAGUCCGGAAGAGGAGAGUGGAAUUCUCGGUGUAGCGGUGAAAUGCGCAGAUAUCGGGAAGAACACCCGUGGCGAAGGCGGCUCUCUGGGACGGUACUGACGCUGAGACGCGAAAGCGUGGGGAGCGAACAGG
rnacentral:rRNA from 1 species